AUUAGAAAAUUCAUUUUUUUAUUCAUAUUCCCUUGUAUUUUUUAGAUCUCCUGUUACCUCUUGCUGCUUCUAACUAACUCAACAGAUGAAAGACAUCUUGAACCACAUAUAAAACCAAUUGCUCUUGAAUUGUUGAAAAUACUUAAAGAAACGGAGAAUGAUUAUCUGACGAAUUUGAUGCAGAACCAAAAAAAAAAAGACUGUUUGCGUCUGUACCCAGCAAUUAGUUCCUAUUAGUGUUGAAAUGAAUCAGCAUUUUAUGCUUUGGCAAGUGAUGGAAUCAAUGAAGAUGGUGAUUAUUUAGAGUCGCUGUCUAAAAUCAUGAAGAACUCUCCUUUCCCUGUUACCCCCUCUGUGACUGCUGAUGAUGAUGAGACUUCAGAGAUGAUGAAGAAUCAGAAGAAAGUUAUGUUACACCUUUAGAUGAUGAUGACUGUGCUAUAGAUGAAUAUGUUAAGUCUUAAAACAAAUUAUUCUUAUUGGUACUUUUUCCGGAGAGCCUGUGAAUAAAUUUUUGUCCUAGCUGAUCAAAGAAAAGCAGCUGCAGGUAAAUUAUUUUCAUUCAUAGAACGAAGCUGUAUAGUCCUGUAAAAAUACAAGAAAUUAAUUUAAAAGAAGAAAAAAAACUUAAAUUGCAGGGUUUGUAAUUGUUCUGGUUUUUAACUUUCUGCCCUGAUAUACUGUGUGUCUGCUGAACAUCAUAUUUUCUACUAAUGCAAAUAGAUUUUAAAAUACUUUAUUUGAAGAAUCAACAGAUUUAGAUUUGAAAUCCCAUAUUUUUAUUUUAAUUAAUAAUGCAAGAAAAAGUUCGAUAGUUAAAACUUGGCAUCUGUCCACUAACUAUAUGAUUGGUUUAGACAUAGACUUACCCGCAGGAUUCAUUGUUUCCAAAAUUAUGGGGAAAAACUUGUU